GCUGGGAUGAGCCUCGGUGGU
rnacentral:miRNA from 1 species